rnacentral:rRNA from 1 species
GAUGAACGCUGGCGGCGUGCCUAAUACAUGCAAGUCGAGCGAACAGAUGAGGAGCUUGCUCCUCUGACGUUAGCGGCGGACGGGUGAGUAACACGUGGAUAACCUACCUAUAAGACUGGGAUAACUUCGGGAAACCGGAGCUAAUACCGGAUAAUAUAUUGAACCGCAUGGUUCAAUAGUGAAAGACGGUUUUGCUGUCACUUAUAGAUGGAUCCGCGCCGCAUUAGCUAGUUGGUAAGGUAACGGCUUACCAAGGCAACGAUGCGUAGCCGACCUGAGAGAGUGAUCGGCCACACUGGAACUGAGACACGGUCCAGACUCCUACGAGAGGCAGCAGUAGGGAAUCUUCCGCAAUGGGCGAAAGCCUGACGGAGCAACGCCGCGUGAGUGAUGAAGGUCUUCGGAUCGUAAAACUCUGUUAUUAGGGAAGAACAAAUGUGUAAGUAACUAUGCGCGUCUUGACGGUACCUAAUCAGAAAGCCACGGCUAACUACGUG